rnacentral:lncRNA from 1 species
GGGGUAUUACGGGAAAUAAGAGGGGGAUAGGGGUAUAUUUUGGGAAAAAAAUCGUUUUGGGUUUAUAGUUUCUCUUAUUUAAAAUCCGAACCGGAUGAUUCAACCGGGAACCGGUUUGGUUUGAUUUUUAAAAUGUUAAUUUUAGUUUAAAAAAAAAGUGUCACAUAUCAUCUAUGAUGAAACCUUUCUAAAAAUUAACUAUAAAAAAAGAUGGUGCUUCCUAUGAAUAUAAUGUAUUAAAAUUUAGAUCUGUCAUCGGUGAUAAUAUUGGAUCACUAGUUCGUUGGUCGAACCCGUAAGUCACUGGCCGACUUGCAUAACUAAACUGGAUAACUCGGUUGAAUAAAUCGAUCUUUAAUACAAAAUUAUAUAGAUACUGAAAUUUAGUAUCUAUAUAAUUUUAGAGAGUCUGGGCAAAUUUUUGGAGAGAAUUUUAUCAACCUAAAUUUCGAAUAUAGAAAUAUUUAAACUCUAUUUUUUAAUAUUUAAUUUUGGAAGAAAUUUUUAAACAAGAAACAACAAGCAAGAGUAUAGCCAUGUUUAACAAAUUAUAUUAAACUACUUAUUUAUACAAUUAAAACAGCUUAACAAAUUUAAAAUUCAAAACAACAUCAAGUCAUCAAACAAAGAUUCUAGAUUGAGAAGGUUAGGUUGUUAAAAAUUAAUUGCAGUAUGUUGGAUUUUAGGUUUGCAGUUUGCUUACCUCAAAACCUUUUGCGACGAGGAGAAAGAGUGAGAGCGGUGAGCGGUGGUGCGGUGCGGCGGAUUGGAGAUUGAGUGGUGAGCGGUGGUGCGGGGAGGCAGAUUGGAGAUUGAACGCGAGGGAGAGAAAGAUUGAGAGCGGUGAGACUGUGAGAGAUUGAGAAAGUGCGAAACUGAGAGAGAUUGAGAAAGUGUCUCGUACCAUACUUUAUGAGAUGCGU